AUGGUGACAUUUGUAACCAUCUGGUAGUGGGCCGCCCAUGGUCAGGGGAAUUGAUUGCGAAGGAUAGUGGAGUAGACACGUGGCUAUUGUUACGGCCUGCCACGUAGAGCCAGUUGUAGGUAGUGGAGCGGCGUCCGUUGCCGCUAGCUGUCAGGGAGUAGUGGAGUCGCGCAGCACCUGCCGCAGGGAGUGGAGCAGAAUCGUGGCCGUUGACACAGCCUGUCAGAGAGUAAUGGGUCCGCCGCAGGGGGUGAUGGAGCCGUGCGGAAUCCACUACAGGAAGUGGAACAGGAUCAUGGUUGUUAUUGUGAUCUGCCAGGGGGUGCGGAUCUGUUGAUCGAAUCUCGACAGUGAUCGAAGUCCGGCCUCUGUAGAAGUUCGGGAGGGGUCCUCCUUUCGGUUGGGAUUGUGGGUGGAGUCUGGCUCCCGUAGGAGUCCGGACGGAACUUUUCUGCAGUGGAUACUGAAAGCGAAACCCGGCUCCCGUAGGAGUCCGGGCGGAGCCCUCUGCAAUCAAAGUUAAAGAUGAAGCCCGGCUCCCGUAGGAGUCCAGACGGAGCUUACCAGCAGCUGAUAUUGAAAGUGGAGCCCGGCCCCCGUAGGAAUCCGGGAGGAGCCGAGCUGCUGUUGGUGUCGAAGGCGGAGCCCGGCUCC
rnacentral:lncRNA from 1 species